rnacentral:rRNA from 1 species
AGCGAACGCUGGCGGCAGGCCUAACACAUGCAAGUCGAACGAAGCCUUCGGGCUUAGUGGCGGACGGGUGAGAAACACGUGGGAACGUACCUUUUGGUUCGGAACAACUCAGGGAAACUUGAGCUAAUACCGGAUGAGCCCUUAGGGGGAAAGAUUUAUCGCCGAAAGAGCGGCCCGCGUUAGAUUAGCUAGUUGGUGAGGUAAAGGCUCACCAAGGCAACGAUCUAUAGCUGGUCUGAGAGGAUGAUCAGCCACACUGGGACUGAGACACGGCCCAGACUCCUACGGGAGGCAGCAGUGGGGAAUCUUGCGCAAUGGGCGAAAGCCUGACGCAGCCAUGCCGCGUGAAUGAUGAAGGUCUUAGGAUUGUAAAAUUCUUUUACCAAGGACGAUAAUGACGGUACCUGGAGAAAAAGCCCCGGCUAACUUCGUGCCAGCAGCCGCGGUAACAC